GUGCUUGCUUCGGCAGCACAUAUACUAAAAUUGGAACAAUACAGAGAUUAGCAUGGCCCCUAUGCAAGGAUGACACACAAAUUCAUGAAGCGUUCCAUAUUUUU
rnacentral:snRNA from 1 species